rnacentral:rRNA from 1 species
UACGUAGGGUGCGAGCGUUAAUCGGAAUUACUGGGCGUAAAGUGUGCGCAGGCGGCAGAGCAAGUCGAGUGUGAAAGCCCCGGGCUUAACUUGGGAAUUGCGCUCGAAACUACUUUGCUGGAGCGUGGCAGAGGAAGGUGGAAUUCCACGUGUAGCGGUGAAAUGCGUAGAGAUGUGGAGGAACACCAAUGGCGAAGGCAGCCUUCUGGGCCAACACUGACGCUCAUGCACGAAAGCGUGGGGAACAAACAGG